rnacentral:rRNA from 1 species
UACAGAGGUCUCAAGCGUUGUUCGGAUUCAUUGGGCGUAAAGGGUGCGUAGGUGGCGGGGCAAGUCUGGUGUGAAAUCCUGGAGCUCAACUCCAGAACUGCCCUUGAUACUGGCGAUCUCGAGUUCGGGAGAGGUGAGUGGAACUGCGAGUGUAGAGGUGAAAUUCGUAGAUAUUCGCAAGAACACCAGUGGCGAAGGCGGCUCACUGGCCCGAUACUGACGCUGAGGUGCGAAAGCGUGGGGAGCAAACAGG